UGUUUAAUUAUUAUUAUGCCAGAAUUGAAUAUUUUUAUGGCAGAUUAUCAUUUGAUUGAAGGUUUGAAAGCGGAAUGAAUUUUAAAAAUAUAAAUUUUGCAUAUACAAUAAUAAUUGAGAGAUAAUCCAACAACAUUCGUGCAGAUAUGCUGGAGAAAUAACAAUAUAAAAGAUCAGAAUCCUAUAAGGUGAUAAACAGAUGAAGAAGCUAACAACUACCGUUAAUAGCAUAAUAAUUACAUGUUUUUUCGUUUUAAUAUGAUAAGAAUCGCUGAUAUUAUUGGAAUUGGGCAUCAAUUGUCUGAUGAUGAACGUAUAUAAAAUCAACAAGAUUAUUAAUGGUGCAAGAUAGAAUAGAAGCACCAAAAGUAAAAAGAAUAUCAUGCUGGCAUUAGUAUCGACCGUUGUUAGACAAACCGGAACCAAAUUCCUUGCGUCGUGAUCCUUCCUGUUUUCCUUAAUGCGCAUCUCUUGGUAUUGAGAAACCCAGAUUAUAGGACUGUAAUCAAUUAAAGUAAAAUUGUCUCGUAAUUGAUAAAAUUAGAAGUAAUUUUCGAUGCCUUUUUAUUUAAGCUGAAAAUCAGAAGUCGAA